rnacentral:rRNA from 1 species
GAUGAACGCUGGCGGCGUGCCUAAUACAUGCAAGUCGAGCGAACGGACGAGAAGCUUGCUUCUCUGAUGUUAGCGGCGGACGGGUGAGUAACACGUGGAUAACCUACCUAUAAGACUGGGAUAUCUUCGGGAAACCGGAGCUAAUACCGGAUGAUAUUUUGAACCGCAUGGUUCAAAAGUGAAAGACGGUCUUGCUGUCACUUAUAGAUGGAUCCGCGCUGCAUUAGCUAGUUGGUAAGGUAACGGCUUACCAAGGCAACGAUGCAUAGCCGACCUGAGAGGGUGAUCGGCCACACUGGAACUGAGACACGGUCCAGACUCCUACGGGAGGCAGCAGUAGGGAAUCUUCCGCAAUGGGCGAAAGCCUGACGGAGCAACGCCGCGUGAGUGAUGAAGGUCUUCGGAUCGUAAAACUCUGUUAUUAGGGAAGAACAUAUGUGUAAGUAACUGUGCACAUCUGGACGGUACCUAAUCAGAAAGCCACGGCUAACUACGU